AACCUGGUUGAUCCUGCCAGUGGUCAUAUGCUACGUUUAAGGGCUAAGCCAUGCAUGUCUCAGCGCAAACGGUUCAACAGUGGGUCUGUGAAUGGCUCCUUACAUCAGCAGUCAUCUGUGUGAUACCAGAGUGAUCCAACUGGACAUCCACCAAAACCUAGUGGCUAAUACACGUUGAGACAGUGGGCCUGGCCCACCGGAUGGCCUCUGGCUGUCCUGAAGGUUGCACUGCAUCCAGCCGGAAUGAAGACCAGUGCCUGUCAAAGGCAGCAUCAGCGUUGACUCAGGCUGGCUCCUCACGGAGGACCUGCACUGGCAGAUAGUGCUUCGGCACCUGCAGGAUCACAUGAACUUCUGACCUAUCAGCUUGGACUGUGGUGCAGUGGACCACAGUGGCCUUAACGGGUAACGGAGAAUCAGGGUUCGAUUCCGGAGAGGGAGCCUGACAGACGGCUACCACUACCAAGGUGGGCAGCAGGCACGCAAAUUGCCCAAUGCAGACACAUGCGAGGCAGCAACAAACUGCAACAACCCUGUUGGCAUUCUCUGUCAGCAGGGCUUGUGAUGGAUGCAAUCCAAACACAGUGAUGAGUAUCAACUGGAGGGCAAGUCUGGUGCCAGCAGCUGCGGUAAUUCCAGCUCCAAGGGCGUAUACUAACAUUGCUGCUGUUAAAACACUUGUAGUCUGCCACUGGGUGCAGGUCUGCCAGGUGGCCGGUGUGCCUGGAGUGUGGUGCCUGCUUCGGCAGUGUGCUCAUUCUGGGUGUGCUGGAAUCAACCCCUGGCAGUAUGUCCUGUGCCCAUUCUCCUCCUGAUGAAGUGAUCUGCUCCUGCUAGAAGUCUCCUUCAGUGGGGAUCAAGGCCAUAUUGCACCCAAGGCAUGCUGGGCAGAAUGAGGGGAUGGCUUCAUGCCAUGCAGACACCUCAGCCCAUUACCGGAGCCCUGCAUCUCAGACACCCUGGUGAACUCAGUGUGCUCAAAGCAACCAGUCUUGGCUGGAUGUCCAACCAUGGAAUGUCAAAGCAUCGACCACGUGUGGCAUUGGAGUUGUGCUGGCCUUGGAGCCACGCUGGGCAAUCUGUUGCUGCCCCCUGAUGGUGAAACUGGGCUGAGCCUCCGGGUGAGGCACCUGUGCCAGCUGUGGUGGCAUGCACCAACCGCAUGAGAUGGGACUGCUCAGGGUGAAAGAUACAGCAACGCCAGAGGUGAAAUUCUUAGACCGUUGCUUGAUCAACUGCAGCGAAGGCGUUUGGCAGGUGCAUGUCCGUCGAUCAAGAAUGAGAGCCUGGGGAGCCAAGAUGAUCAGACACCGUCGUAGUCCAGAGCUGUAAACCAUGCCAGCUAGGCUGUGGUGGGGCCAGAUUCACAACACUCCAUCAUGGCCAUGCCCCCUCAAACGAGUAAUCCAAGCCUUUGGGUUCAGGGGGGAGUACCGUCGCAAGGCUGAAACUUAAAGGAAUUGACGGAAUGGCACCACAAGGCGUGGAGUAUGCGGCUUAAUUUGACUCAACACGGGGAAUGUUACCAGGUCAGGACGUUGCUUGGAUGGACAGAUUGAGAGCUCUUUCUAGAUCCUUCGGAUGGUGGUGCAUGGCCGCUCCUGAUUGGUGGAGUGAUUUGUCUGGUUGAUUCCGAUAACGAGCGAGAUCUCUGCCUCCCAAUAGCCCCAGUCUCGCACUGGUAGGGUUGGAUCCUGGCACCUCACAGUGGUGGCUUGCUGCCCUGUGAAUCCAGUGGUCUCCCGAGAGAUCAGGGUUCAGCUUCUCUGAGGUGCUGUGUCUAGUUACCAAAGGCAUGCAUGCUAGAGCCAACAGCAGGUCUGUGAUGCUCCCAGAUGUCCUGGGCCGCACGCGCACUACAUUGACACAGUGACUGUGUGACUCCUGCUCAGUCAGGACCUGCCCAGAAGUGGGUGGGAAACCCUGCAAGCCUGUGCUGUACUGGGGAUAGAUGAUUGCAACUGUUUGCCUUGAACGAGGAAUGCCUAGUAUGUGCAGGUCAUCAGCCUGCACAGAUUGAGUCCCUGCCAUUUGUACACACCGCCCGUCGUUGCUACCGAUGGCUGUGGGGUAGAGCCUUCUGGAAAGGGCCCCGGAGUUCAUCCUCUGGGAUUCCCUGAAACUGGGCAAUACUCCCUGGCUAGAGGAAGCAAAAGUCGUAACAAGGUUGUUGUAGGUGAACCUGCAGAAGGAUCA
rnacentral:rRNA from 1 species